rnacentral:lncRNA from 1 species
UAUACAGUUGUGAAACCUCCACUCAAGGAAAGGCUCAGGGAACACGAUUCCAAACAUCCACACUUAACUAAGCGCUCAUCAAAACUCCUUCUUGAAUUUAGAGAUCUAAUUUCUCUAAUGGCCAAAUCACUUCUGUGUCUUAGAAAGUGCUUUCUACUGAGCUCAAUCAACUAAUAGCCUGGGACUGGCUUCACACCCUUUCUAUGCAGCAAUGUUCACAUGAAAGUAUGGACCCAAUCGAGGAUGAAGUCCAGAACCGGUCCUCAUCGUGCCUCACCUGAGCUAUUGUGACAGCUUCUCUCUAACCUGGUGACUUCCAGGACCUCAUCCUUAAUAUAGUUGUGAUGACAAGAUGAUGUCAUCCGUGACCUAACAGACCGCACUGUGUCAGGAUUCAGCUAUGUCUGGUGCAGCUGGACUAGGUCCCAGUCUGGGUCUCAUAAGGAAGGAUCGACUUGUGUGUGGCCUCCAAUGCAGUUUCACUUGUCUUCAAAGCCCUCUGCAGAAUACUGCCUCUUGGAAAUGGACGAGCAGCCCAAAGUGGUGCAAGGCGGUGACCUUCGCGCCUGGUCCGGCGUGCGGGAGCUCCGGGGACCGGGCGGCGACGACCAUUGGAGAGCGGGGUCCAGCUGCUGGCGGACGCUCGGUGGAAGGUGUCGCGGGACAGCCGCCUGGACGCCUUUGGAGAGGGCCGGCGAGGCGCCGGGCGUGUGGAGCAGGGGGGCACUGUCGAAGCCUGCCUCUCUCGGUGGGCGGCAGCCCCCCGGAUCACUUCCCUCAGAUGUCCCCAGGCCCUGUCCCUGGGCGCAAAGGGCGCGCAGCCCGGGGCAGCCCCUCAUCACCACGCCCAGCGAUGGGAAGGUGUGAACGUCGUCUGUGCAACGGAAACAGUUCCAUCUGGCCCGCGCAGAACCAGAGCUUCUGGCUGGAACUCCGGCCUUCAAUCCGUGUCCCCACUUUUGGGGAAAAAUGGUCACUCCUGGAGCAGAGGGGACGGGACAGGAGAGGGGAGACCGAGAAAUCUGCCCCUCUAAAUGUUCGGGUGCGGAGCCUUCGGGGUGAUUCUCAGCAUCACUCACCACGUCGCGCAACUCGCUUCCCUCACCCCCCGCUGCCCUCUCUGUCUUUGGGGGCUCCUAUCCCCUCCCCUGAACUCUCACGGCCCAGGUCAGCCCCCACCUUCCGGAACGCCGGACCUGGACCUGGAAGCCAAGCAGGGGUUGAGGGCGACCCCUCGGCACAGAGGUCUAACGACAGACAGGGUCGGGGGACUGCGGCCCCAAGUGGGCCGCGCCCUGGUGGAAACUUCUGCAGGAAGUGGCCUGACGCUUUCUACCUUACCUGGCACAACCGCCAGAUGCUCGCUUCACAGCAGUAAACAACUUAAAAAAAAAAAAAUUAAAAAAAAAAAAAUUCGGCGACCCCUCUGGACACAGCUUUCCCUUCAGUCGUUUGCUCACCUCAAAAUAGUGCUCAGGAGGAAGAAAGCCUGUUCCUGCCUCCACCCCAGAACAACCGGGAGAGGGGAAUAAUCCAUUUGAAUUUGCAUGAUGAAAUAUUCAAGCUGACUCUACAUAACCUUUCUAAUAGACUUUUUCUUUCAAAUAUGCAUGUGCGUUUAAAUGCCUAAAAGACCAAUCAAAUAAAGAACAUGUUGACCUCUCUGGGUUGAGGCCCAGUUUGAGUCAGAUUAUAUAACCCAGCAGCAUCAGGAACUCCCCAGCAAUGUGGCUCUCAGCUGCCUGAAAAAAUG